rnacentral:rRNA from 1 species
UACGUAGGGUGCAAGCGUUGUCCGGAAUUAUUGGGCGUAAAGAGCUCGUAGGCGGUCUGUCGCGUCUGCUGUGAAAACUCAGGGCUUAACCCUGAGCUUGCAGUGGGUACGGGCAGACUAGAGUGCGGUAGGGGAGACUGGAAUUCCUGGUGUAGCGGUGAAAUGCGCAGAGUAUCAGGAGGAACACCGGUGGCGAAGGCGGGUCUCUGGGC